rnacentral:rRNA from 1 species
UGGGGAAUAUUGCACAAUGGGCGCAAGCCUGAUGCAGCGACGCCGCGUGGGGGAUGACGGCCUUCGGGUUGUAAACCUCUUUCAGCAGGGACGAAGCGAAAGUGACGGUACCUGCAGAAGAAGCACCGGCCAACUACGUGCCAGCAGCCGCGGUAAUACGUAGGGUGCGAGCGUUGUCCGGAAUUACUGGGCGUAAAGAGCUCGUAGGUGGUUUGUCGCGUUGUUCGUGAAAACCGGGGGCUUAACCCUCGGCGUGCGGGCGAUACGGGCAGACUAGAGUACUGCAGGGGAGACUGGAAUUCCUGGUGUAGCGGUGGAAUGCGCAGAUAUCAGGAGGAACACCGGUGGCGAAGGCGGGUCUCUGGGCAGUAACUGACGCUGAGGAGCGAAAAGCGCGGGGAGCGAACAGGAUUAGAUACCCUGGUAGUCCACGCCGUAAACGGUGGGUACUAGGUGUGGGUUUGCCUUCCUUGGGAUCCGUGCCGUAGCUAACGCAUUAAGUACCCCGCCUGGGGAGUACGGCCGCAAGGCUAAAACUCAAAUGAA